ACCAUGGAGCUGCAGCAGCAGAAGUCACAGACAGGUCACGGCUUCAGUGAAUUUUUGUUUAUUGCCUGUGACCUGUCCGUGACUAACUAAAAAUAACCAUGACAAAAUCUUAGCCUUAAUAAUGGCAAGUGAGAACAUCCCCGCUAGAACGAACGAACAAACCAACACUUUCAUCACCAAGCAGUAAGUUAACCACCUCCCCGAUUGGCAUAUCUCUGGCUUCUGAGAGUUGUAUGAAGGUAGGUUCUGCAUAUAAAUCAUACUUCCGGACACAGAGGUAAAUCAGUCUAUCCUGGUUAGUGAAGAGCUAAAGGUCCUGAUUUGGAAUUCAUUUUCCCCAACAUCUGUCAGAAUCGGGGCUUCUUCAUCCUAGCUUCCUGGCUUUGCCGCAGACUUCUUUUGUGAGCUUGGGCAAGUCACUCACAGCUAGAUUCACAAAGGGACUUAAGCACCCAAGUCCAAGCACUAAGAUCCUCAAAACUCCCAUUCAGCUGCUGCCUAACCUAUAGGCACUUAAAGUCGCCAUGCACCUAAGUUUUUGCUGGUGGGCCUGUGCAAGCCUGCCUAAAUCCUGAUGCUGCUGAACUGCUUGGUGCUCUAGCUCAUGCUUAAACCCCAGGGGAUUUCAAAGUAGGCGGUCUCACACCUAUCUCACCUGCAGGGCCCAGUCAGGCAUGCUCUGAGACUGCUUACCAACUGGACUGGGCCUUACGCAAAAGACAUCUGGCACAUGACCAGAUUUGAAGAGAGGUGCGGGGGGGAGGGGGGGGCAUCAGAGAGGGAAAGUGUGUGUGUGAGAUGCACUCAUCUUAUUCCAACAGAACUGUCUGGAGGCUAGAGGCGCAAGAGUUUGAGCUAAAGAGAAAGUUUCCCCCCAUUUUGGCUUGCUGUACUCAGUGGGUAAAAUUCAGCCUAAACAUGAGUUGUAAGUGGGGCUUCAGGACUUGUGCAAGCUCUCUGCUGCAGGGUGUAUAUUCUCCAAAGAACAGUGAUGAGCAAUGCACUUAUAAGCACAUUCAAACCCUUCCAGCUGGGAUUUUCAAAAGGACCCUAGGGGACUUAGGCACUGAGCUUCUACUGAAAUUCAGGUCUAGGCACAUACCUCCUUAACAGCCCUCAGUAUGGGAAAAUGCAAUAGUAAAGGUAGAUUGGGGGGUGUGUGGGGUGGGGGUGGGGGUGGGUGUGUGUGUGUGAGAGAGAGACUAAUUGCUGCACAACUUUAUAUUUGUUUAAAAAUAAUUGAUACUGCUGUCACAUUAAGGCUGGGAUUUACAUGUAAGCACACUCAGUAAGAAAAAUGUUGGUUUGAGCAAUUUAAAUAUUUUAAAAAUAUACAGUUUACAGCAAUUAGUGCCCCUACCUCUCCAUUAUUAUAUCUUCCCAAACAGCUGGCUCUUAAGAUGUCUGCAGACUUGAUCUUUUGUCCAUUAAAUUUAUUUCUCCCUUUUCCUGUUUGCGUACCCAGUUCUAUUUUUAAAAAAGAAAUCAGUUUGGCAGUAGUAAACUUGUGGGUUUGUGUGUGUGUGUGUGUGUGUUUGUAUUUUUUGGCACAGUAUAAGGAUAUAACUACUUAGGGAUUAACAGAACACAAACACAUAUUUGGCAAGUUGCACACUUUAACUAUUGAUCAUACAACCCUCUUUACUACUAUAUUUGAGAAUCUUGUAUAGCCAGGGACCUAGAGAAAUGUGAGGAAAAGAGCACAAUGUUUUUAACAGGGAGCAUUUAUAAAUGUUUCCUCUACAAGAGUCAAUAAAUAGUUUGCUUAAAACACACACAGAAAAGUCAUUUGUCCUCUGAAGAGUUACUGUGCCAAAUCUGGAAGUUACUUCAGUCAGUCAUUCCAACAUGAAACAGGCAUUUUAGUUCUGAUGUGAGUGCCAAGCUCAAUGCUACCCUAACCAUAGAGUUGCUACCACCACCUCCAUAGGAGUUCAAUUCACAGCACAGCUUCUCUCUCCUCCCCACCCCCAUCACAGGCCAAGCCCCAAUUCUAAUUUCUCUCCAUCACACAUAAGCUCUGCACCCCUCCUCCCCAAUCCUGCUUCCCGCAUAUCUUCUACAGCACCACUCUGCAACAUGCUCCCCCACUCCCCAUUAUAUCACAUUUAGCUACUACAUAUUGAUACGCAAAUGUUUAAAUCUGAAUAUGGAAGAAAUGUAGGGACUAAUCUGAGCUGUGCACAGAAAGUGACAUGGGUUGGGAAUGGGGUUUGGUGGGGGUGGGCGCAAUAUUUUUAAGUUUGAGUCAAAGGUUGCUUGACUCCCAUCAAUGCAAAUGCUAAAAAAUAAAAAAGGUUAAACCAUGCACAGUUCACAUAUCUCCAAACUCAUCCUGAAUAACCAACAUGGAGCCUUAACUCUGGCCAUAAAUACAGUGUAACAGUGUAGAAAUCUGUGUGUGAAUAUUAUAAAAAAAAAACCAAAUCAAUAACCAAAUUUAGAUCACUAAAAAUAAUACAGAUCACCAACUCACGUAAGUUCUCCUAAAUGUUACAGGAACGCUGCUGCCAUUUGCAGUUUGACAGUGUACCUCACUUUCACAAGCCUGUACAAAAAAUCACAGGCAGAACCACGCUCAAUGUAAUUUAUGAAAGCCCACCAGGGGAAAAAAACCCCAAACUUACUGCCAACAACCAUUGCUGGAGUUUGAGACUGUUUGUUCAGGAUGAGGGAGGAGAUAUAUGAGCUGUGGAAGGAGAACAGAUGAGUGAAUGUAGAUGGGGCAUUGAAUGGCUUCUUUCUUAGCUUUUUCAUAUGGUGCUGGUGGGCUACUCGCUCUAAGAACCUCAACGCAAACAAAGAUUUUUGGUGAGGAACUGAUUAUGUAAAUUGGAAUGGAGAGGAUGGCAUAAAACAGCACAUUCCAAGCCUGUGUGUGUUUGAGUAAAAAAGAGUUAGUGCUCAUCUUUGGGACUAGGCCGAAAGAAAGAAGUUAUGAUUCCUUGUGUUUGGGAUAUAAAAUCAUUCACAGAGCUGCAGACUAUAAUGUAAUAACCAGAACAGUGACUUCACUGUAAGGCACCCAAGAGGAAGAAAUGAAUUAUGACGGGAGGGAGAUCCAGAAAUCCUAAUGCUAACAACUAUGUGAAAAGGAGGAGUCUCACAUAAGACUGCAGAGGACAACACUCAGCAAGCUUGCCAAGUGAUGUGUCAGAGACUCCUCCAGCCCCAUAAACUAGACUGAAUCAUCUACAGGCUCCAAUAUCCACAGCUGAAUCUUAUGGCAGAUUUAUAAUUCAUUUUGCAGAAUAUUUUGGAUAAGUUUCGGUGAUAUGGAGAUCAAUUGGUCUGGUUAGGAUUGCUCACAACACAAUCGAUGAUCAGAGAGCACUCAGAAGGCAAAAGCAAGGACAGUAGAGAUCUGUGAAUUUUAUAGAAUUUUCCUGCAGAAUUCCCCAUACACUUUAUUGCACUUUCCAUAAUUUAAAAACAUGAACAAGAAGCGUAUCUUAUCCUAAGCAGCAGAGACAGAAGCCGAGAGGUCAGUCAGGGGCAUGCAAUCCUAAUGGCUGCCUCAGAGAAAGUUCUUCUGCCACUUGUCACUAAGUUUGGUUCCCUUCCUUCCUUCCAGCAGAGAGUCCUCACUUUCAUCCACUUGGAACAUUUUUUUAAAGUGAUCCGUCUCUUCUAGAUUGCUCUCCCUAUAAGCAUUCUCUCAACAGUCAUAUCCUGGCACUACAGAGGUGGUGAAAGUGGUCCUUUGAUCUAGGCACGGUCAAGCACUGGAGGUUCUUAUCACUGUGAGCCCUCUUCUAACCUCUUCACUGGAACGUAGUACCUCACGUGUCCCUCACAGUUGGUACUAGCAGACUGCCAGAAAACUGAGGUUCUCAGGAAAGCUAAAUGAAGGCUGUUGGCAUCUCCCACCACAGAGAAGGAAAGUCUCUUUCUGCUGCUAAAUCACCUGGGAAGGUGUCAAUGGGAUUCCAGAGGUAGAGAUCUUCCUUUUGCUCUCACAGCUACAUAGACAAGGCAGAAAAGACUACAGAUAUUCAAGGUGAAAGCCAUGUAUAGACUUGUCAGAAGAGGCAAGUCACCAGAACAAUAAGCAUCCAAGGGCCAUCAAUACCCUUAAAACUACCUACUUACUGCAGUGUAAGCCCCGUCAGAGAUGCCUAGCUCACAAAAGGAGGCUUCCACCUUUUGUUCAGAGAGAGAGAGAGAAAGAAAAAGUAUGAUGGAUAAAUAGGUCUGAGAUCAUAAGAUGCAGCUUUGCCCUGGAACUGAUAAGAAACCCAAAAGACAGGUUCCUAGUUUCUGCUAGAACUUCUAGCAAACUGAUAAAUGAAGAAAUUAAUAAUCUGUCCAGGACUGGGACAGAAGAACCAACUGUGGGGCAGAGAGAUUCUGUAGACUUUAUUCUACCUUUUAUGUGACUCUCCAAAGGAAAUGGAAAGUGGAUAGUGAUUUUAGACAUGAAUUCCCUCAACAGAUAGAUGGAGAAAUGCAGGAUUUGAUGGAAUUCUAGGGUCCCACUCUAGCUGUAGUCAUGGACAACUGAAGGACUGAUCAAUAUAGUGGCCACAUACCUUUACAUCAAGAUCAGAAAUUCUCAUUGCACAGUCCCCUGCUUCUGCUGAACAAAAAAAAGAGCCAUCCAGGGCCCCCACAGACAGCCACUGUGGUUAUAGCAACCCCUCCACUCUGACAGGAUUCACUCCCCUUCCCCCAUACCCAUUUCUCACCAAAGUUAACCCAAGCUUUGUCCUUGAAGAUUACACAUAGAACAACUGUGCAAGUGCUCUCCUCCCUUCACAGGCAUUAAAUUAUUGUAAGUGUGGAGAGGAGCUUCUUUUUUCCCCUCCAGGAUUAUUCACUGGCUAGGGGCCACUAUAGGCAUAACAAAUGGCAAACAUUUAGUGCCUCAGAACCAGAUGGAUAACAUGAGAGCAAGAGUUCUGUCCCUCAUCCUGAAUGCAGGGACCCUGAUCAGGAACCUGAUGGGGGCUGCUCAGCUGGACUUUGUCAUGACCCUGGACAUAACCCUCCUUGGGGACGAGAACAGCAUUGUGUAUUUAAAAUAAUCAGAAUAGAAAAUAAAGUUUCUUGGAGACGUUCUAUGGGUUUGUGGCAAGGGAGCAAAGAAAAAUCUUUGAUUUGUGCUGUCCUGGGGCCACUAAGAAUAUACACACUAAGAAAAAUGAUAAAUUGCUCGGACAUCCACCAAAAAUAAGUCGGGUCUAAACUGCUGGCUUGUUGCACAGUAAAAUAUGUGCAAGUUUUAAAAGAAAUAUCUGAAGUGAAUAUAAUCGCCAUGGACUAACCUCCAUAAUGGCUGCUUUCUUUAUGUGUUGUGGAAAAAAGUAUCUAGUAAAUUGUCUGUACUGCAAGAACGCCAUUAAAAUAAUGGAUCUAAAAAGCCAUGAACAAUACCUUAUUAAAAACAGACUGGAAAGCAGAGAGAAACAGAAGGAACUGGAAAGAAUCUAAUUAUGGUAAAGGGAUCUGAAUGUGAUAGAAUUACAAGCCUGUUAAGACUGGAACAAGAAAUGUCUUCACACACAAGUUUUUACAUAUGCAUAUGAAACUGGACAUUCCCUACUUGGGUGAAGAACUAACAUGUUGUGGGGUGGGGGUGGAGGAACCUUAUGUGGGUCUUAGAUAGUUCUCACAGCUCAGUAUUUAAACACCUUGUAAAUAGCAGCUGUCAAAUGGGAAUAAACUGGAAUUUUGAGAAAGAGGGAAGGUUUCCCCCCCCCCUUCAUUUCAACAUUAAAAAAAAGUGAUUACCUGGUGAGGUGACAGGAGGGCUGACGCAUGAGCCAGGCAUAUAGAUAGUUGAUGUAUACACACAGGGCAAUAGAAAUUAGAUAUUGAGGAAUCAUAGAAUAUCAGGGUUGGAAGGGACAUCAAGAGGUCAUCUAGUCCAACCCCCUGCUCAAAGCAGGGCCAAUCCCCAAUUUUUGCCCCAGAUCCCUAAAUGGCCCCCUCAAGGAUUGAACUCACAACCCUGGGUUUAGCAGGCCAAUGCUCAAACCAGGAAGCUUUUAGAGAAAUGAUGAGCCUGCCCCACUGCAAGAUCAUCAUUUAGUUCCCCAACAGAAGGUGUAACUGGCUAUUUUAAAGACACUGCAGGGCUGCUGAUUUUAGGAAAGCAGCAAAGGAACAAUGAUCUAUUAACCUUAUUUAUACUUGUGAUCAGUGUUUUACCAUGAUUACAGUGCUAUAGUAUGGAUGAAUUUAAAAGGCCCAAUGGACCGUCCAAGACUGUAUUUUUAUAAAGGUGACUUUAAAGAAAGAUAUGCGCAGUAAUAUCUCCUUACAAGAUGCCCAGUGUUUCAAACAGAUUUUUCCUAGUACUUAUAGAAAAUACAUGAAAUAACACAAUUUUUUUUGUCCUGUAGUUGCCAUCAGUACACUUGUGUUCAUAACUUGUAUGUUUGCCAGAAGAACUAGCUGGAGCCACACAUGAAGCCUGUUCAACUUCUGCAGUGAGAGAUUAUUAAAUUUCCCAUUGGUUGGUAGAUUGCUGAAGUAGGUAUUACAUAGCUGACUGAGGUUAAGCCACACAAGGCUGUCAGUUGCAUUUACUCUAGGUGUUUUGCAUUUGUACUGCUGCAACAUCACAAUGCACUCACAAAAAAAACUGAGACGCAAUUAUUUCAGAAAGCGUGAUCUGUAUAUUUUUUUGUUUUGUUUUUAAGCAACUCUUUCCACUCCUGAAGACUACACAUCCAUGGCCGUAAAUAAUAAUUUCAAAGUACCCACCUUGUUGAGGACAUCUCGCUGGCAACCAAGGUAAAGAUGAGGCAGGAUUCUGGUUGGACCAAUGUUGGAGACAGGUAAGCAAGGUUGAGAAAUACAAGUAGGGACUAGAACAGAUUUUCCUUCACAGAGGCCAGGGAAACAGCUGGAGAAUUCAGCAAACCCACCUAAGAAAAGCAAAAACCUGAGUUUCAGUGCAGUGGGGAGAGUGUAAGACAAAGCCAUGUAAAAGUAUUUUAGCGUACCCCCAAUAUCAAACACAAAAAAUUAUUCUGGGGGUGGGAGGCGGUGAUGUGAUGCAGCUGGAAAACCCUAGAGAAGCAAGUUGAUAGAGCUGCCUGUGCGUCUUUGCCAGAGCUGCUGUGACUGCCAAGUUCAGUAUGUAAUCCAGCACAGAGUCUUGCUUCAUAUGCCCCCCACCAAUGAUAUAACGAUCUAAAAGAAGCCUGAAAUGUUUCUUCUCUUCAUUACCUCAAAAACUUGAGGUACCUCUCAAUUCUCAAUAUUUACUUGUGGAAUGGAGACAACAACACCCCCUCCCCCAAGAUAUCCGAUCACUUAGAAUUAGCAAUGACAUUGUCCCUUUCUCCUUGAGCCAAGGCUUUAAUAAUUCACUGCAAUCACUGUCACAGCAAUGGAAAGGAGAAGAAUGUGUCAUCAGUACAGGGUUUUUAAAAGUGUUAAAAUGCAUUGUUAGCUGAAUGAACACUGACUGCAGAAUUUUUCAUCAUCCUAGCCUUGUGCCCCAACAAAAAAAUUCAGCCAGUCUCCCUGUAGGCCUCACGUUUCAAAGCUGCAACAAGUAGAAACUUCUCAGUCUUAAAAA